UAUUCCCCACUGCUGCCUCCCGUAGGAGUCUGGGCCGUGUCUCAGUCCCAAUGUGGCCGUUCAACCUCUCAGUCCGGCUACUGAUCGUCGACUUGGUGAGCCGUUACCUCACCAACUAUCUAAUCAGACGCGAGGCCAUCUCUAAGCGAAAUACUUUGAUAGCAAAAUCAUGCGGUUUCGCUAUAUUAUGCGGUAUUACCAUCCGUUUCCAGAAGCUAUCCCGCUCUUAGAGGCAGGUUCCUCACGUGUUACUCACCCGUCCGCCACUAAGAAAAUUACCGAAGCAACUUUCUCCGUUCGACUUGCAUGUGUUAGGCGUGCCGCCAGCGUUCAUCCUGAGCCA
rnacentral:rRNA from 1 species